rnacentral:rRNA from 1 species
GUACGGGAGGCAGCAGUGGGGAAUUUUGGACAAUGGGCGCAAGCCUGAUCCAGCAAUGCCGCGUGCAGGAUGAAGGCCUUCGGGUUGUAAACUGCUUUUGUACGGAACGAAAAGGUCUGCCUUAAUACGGUGGGCCCAUGACGGUACCGUAAGAAUAAGCACCGGCUAACUACGUGCCAGCAGCCGCGGUAAUACGUAGGGUGCGAGCGUUAAUCGGAAUUACUGGGCGUAAAGCGUGCGCAGGCGGUUAUAUAAGACAGAUGUGAAAUCCCCGGGCUCAACCUGGGACCUGCAUUUGUGACUGUAUAGCUAGAGUACGGUAGAGGGGGAUGGAAUUCCGCGUGUAGCAGUGAAAUGCGUAGAUAUGCGGAGGAACACCGAUGGCGAAGGCAAUCCCCUGGACCUGUACUGACGCUCAUGCACGAAAGCGUGGGGAGCAAACAGGAUUAGAUACCCCGGU